CAGCAGCAGCCACGGUAAGACAGAGGAUGCAAGCGUUAUCCGGAAUGAUUGGGCGUAAAGCGUCUGUAGGUGGCUUUUCAAGUCCGCCGUCAAAUCCCAGGGCUCAACCCUGGACAGGCGGUGGAAACUACCAAGCUGGAGUACGGUAGGGGCAGAGGGAAUUUCCAGUGGAGCGGUGAAAUGCGUUGAGAUCGAAAAGAACACCAACAGCGAAAGCACUCUGCUGGGACGACACUGACACUAAGAGACGAAAGCUAGGGGAGCAAAUGGGAUUAGAUACCCGCGUAGUCCCUGUCUCUUAUAC
rnacentral:rRNA from 1 species